rnacentral:rRNA from 1 species
UACGGCGGGAGCAAGCGUUGUUCGGAUUUACUGGGCGUAAAGGGCGCGUAGGCGGCCACCGCAAGUCAAUUGUGAAAUCUCCGGGCUUAACUCGGAAAGGUCAACUGAUACUGCGGGGCUAGAGUGCGGAAGGGGCAACUGGAAUUCUCGGUGUAGCGGUGAAAUGCGUAGAUAUCGAGAGGAACACCUGCGGCGAAGGCGGGUUGCUGGGCCGACACUGACGCUGAUGCGCGAAAGCCAGGGGAGCGAACGGG